AUGACAACCCAUGGAGAUGAAAAACUGAAAGAUGUGAAGAACAUGAAUUGGUGUAAGUUCAUAGCCAACUUCCUGCACGAUGCAUUCUCAAGCAAGAUGUACCAAAAGGGUUGUCGACUGCAUUUAAUGCUCAUGUACGUCGACUGUCUUGAUCUGUCCACCGUGGAUUUCACUGGGACAGGAGGCCCGCCGCCUACGCACAAGUUUGCUGUUUCUGCAUGGACUAUCAACGUUGUCAAGGCUGUGCUUGCUGCAGACAGGGUAACUGAUACCAAAUAUGGAAAACUGCAGCUGAUGGCCAAGCAUGCUAUAGACUACAGCGUGUUUGGGGGGGCUCAAAACUUUGGAAAGUGGAUGGACGUGCACUCAGCUCCGUCUUGCCCUACUGAGGCGAGGGCACCUGUUGAGCAUCUAAUUGGGUAG
rnacentral:rRNA from 1 species